UCGGGUAGCAGCGGGGCUCGCUGGCGGAUUGCGGAGGAGGGCGGUCCGGUGGCUCACCCUCACCCCCCGCUCUCAUGAAGGCGGGAGGUCUGCGGAGAAAGCUCUGCUUCAGCCUCCUUGCAGCAAACGCCCCUCCUUGCCAGCGGUUUCAAGUUGCCUGGAGAAUUACCUCAAAGCAACCAAAGGCAUGUUACCCUUCCCUAGGACUCUAAUAUGAUGCAUGGGACCCCACUGCUCUGCCAACUCCCGGGUUGCAAUACAAAUGAGGGAUUCUGCCUCAGACCCCUUCGUGGUGGACUGAUGCUCUUACAUGGGUUUUAGGAGUGUUAUCCUGAGAUGAAUUCAAGUGAGGCAAGCUCGGGAGCUGGCAAGCACAAAUAAAUCUCUAAGUGAAUGACCUGGUAGUUCGUGUGUGUA